UCCUGCGGAUGCACUCUUCUACGCGUGUCGCGUGUAAUUCCGCGUCGAACCGGCGGCCCGCCGAUUCUCGCCGAUCGUGUUUGCUCGCAGCUCGCUCUCGGGGCGGCGACGACAAGCGGUGAACGUGCGGCCGUUUCGGCAUCCGCGGGGUUUAUCAGUGGCCGGGGAUAGCCGGGGAACGCCGGAACGGUGUUAUCGUCGCUUUAAGGACUGAAAGGCGAAAUAAUUAUUGGCAGCUGUCAUCCCGCGUGGCGCUCAUUGGCUUCUAUGCUUCUUAGCCCCGUGUCAAUAGUCGUUACUUGAAACUUGCUUCACAUGAGAUACGCCACUUUAAAGUUAAAUCGUUUUCUUCCAACUUAAAUAAACUCAUCCCUGAAGAGCUGUUGACUCGUUCUUAUCAAAUGUGCUGUUAUCCUGACACUCCUGAUAAUCGUCCGUUGCGGAAAUGACUCCAACUCCUGGCUGUGACACGUGUGACAUUAACCGCAAGUUAACCUCGGGACUUAAAUGACGGAUCAAGUGCGCGCGACUUCUUUCGCUAUCGAAAACAAAAUUCGUUGUUAUUAUUACAACGAAAACAGUAUAAACCUUUUAACGAAUUAACGGAAGGAAGCUAGUUCCGAAGAAAACAAAGAAGAAAAAAAGGAAGAAACGCGAUAAAAGAAAAACGAGAAGAAGAAUAAAAGAAAGAAAAGGA